AACGCACAUUGCGCCCUCUGGUAUUCCGGGGGGCAUGCCUGUUCGAGCGUCAUUAUAACCACUCAAGCUCACGCUUGGUAUUGGGGUUCGCGGUUCCGCGGCCCCUAAAAUCAGUGGCGGUGCCUGUCGGCUCUACGCGUAGUAAUACUCCUCGCGAUUGAGUCCGGUAGGUUUACUUGCCAGCAACCCCUAAUUUUUUAAGGUUGACCUCGGAUCAGGUAGGGAUACCCGCUGAACUUAA
rnacentral:misc_RNA from 1 species